GGAGUUAGCCGGUGCUUCUUCUGUGAGUGAUGUCCUUCCUGCCGGCUAUUAACCCGCAGGCCUUCUUCCUCACUGAAAGUGCUUUACAACCCGAAGGCCUUCUUCACACACGCGGCAUGGCUGGAUCAGGGUUGCCCCCAUUGUCCAAUAUUCCCCACUGCUGCCUCCCGUAGGAGUCUGGGCCGUGUCUCAGUCCCAGUGUGGCUGAUCAUCCUCUCAGACCAGCUACGGAUCGUCGCCUUGGUGAGCCGUUACCUCACCAACCAGCUAAUCCGACAUAGGCUCAUCCGAUAGCGCGAGGCCCGAAGGUCCCCCGCUUUCCCCCGUAGGGCGUAUGCGGUAUUAGCCUGGGUUUCCCCAGGUUAUCCCCCACUACCGGGCAGAUUCCUAUGCAUUACUCACCCGUCCGCCGCUCGCCACCAGGAGCAAGCUCCCCGUGCUGCCGCUCGACUUGCAUGUGUUAGGCCUGCCGCCAGCGUUCAAUCUGAGCCAGAUCAAACUCUGA
rnacentral:rRNA from 1 species